GCCUAACCGUAAAAUAUUAACUCACACCUACCAACGCCCGGGUACUACGAGCCCCAGCUUAAAACCCAAAGGACUUGACGGUGUCCCACCCACCUAGAGGAGCCUGUUCUAUAAUCGAUGAUCCCCGCUAAACCCAACCCCCCCYUUGCCAAUCAGCCUGUAUACCUCCGUCGUAAGCUUACCAUAUGAAUGCCYUAAGUAAGUCUAACGGCUACAAACACCAAUACGUCAGGUCAAGGUGCAGCUCAUGGGGCGGUAAGCAAUGGGCUACAAUUUCUAAUUUAGAACAAACGAAACACUGUAUGAAACUCAGUUGUGAAGGCGGAUUUAGUAGUAAAAAGAAAGUAGCGUGUUCUUUUUAACUAGGCCCUGGGACGUGUACACACCGCCCGUCGCCCUCUUCAAUAGUUAUAUAUAACAGAUUUAUAAUCCCCCACCACGCCUUAGAAGAGGUAAGUCGUAACAUGGUAAGUGUACCGGAAGGUGUGCUUGGAAUAA
rnacentral:rRNA from 1 species